rnacentral:rRNA from 1 species
GACAGAGGUGGCAAGCGUUGUUCGGAGUUACUGGGCGCAAAGAGUCUGUAGGUGGUCUGUCAAGUCUUUGGUGAAAGGCCGUGGCUUGACCAUGGGAAUGCCAAAGAGACUGGCAGACUGGAGGCUGGGAGAGGGAAGCGGAAUUUCUGGUGCAGCGGUGAGAUGCGUAGAUAUCAGAAGGAAGGCCGGUGGCGAAGGCGGCUUCCUGGAACAGGCCUGACACUGAGAGACGAAAGCGUGGGGAGCAAACAGG